rnacentral:rRNA from 1 species
AAACCAACUGGGAUUACCUUAGUAACGGCGAGUGAAGCGGUAAAAGCUCAAAUUUGAAAUCUGGUACUUUCAGUGCCCGAGUUGUAAUUUGUAGAAUUUGUCUUUGAUUAGGUCCUUGUCUAUGUUCCUUGGAACAGGACGUCAUAGAGGGUGAGAAUCCCGUUUGGCGAGGAUACCUUUUCUCUGUAAGACUUUUUCGAAGAGUCGAGUUGUUUGGGAAUGCAGCUCAAAGUGGGUGGUAAAUUCCAUCUAAAGCUAAAUAUUGGCGAGAGACCGAUAGCGAACAAGUGCAGUGAUGGAAAGAUGAGAAGAACUUUGAAAAGAGAGUGAAAAAGUACGUGAAAUUGUUGAAAGGGAAGGGCAUUUGAUCAGACAUGGUGUUUUGCGCCCUUUGCUCCUUGUGGGCGGAGGAUACGCAGCUCACUGGGCCAACAUCAGUUUUGGGAGCAGGAUAAAUCUGUAGGAACGUAGCUUUCUUCGGGAAGUGUUAUAGCCUAUGGGAAUACUGCUACCUGGGA